CACGGAGUUAGCCGAUGCUUUUUCUUCGGAUACGCGCAGUCCGGGACACGUCCCGGGUUUUGUUCUCCGACAAAAGAGGUUUACAACCCAUAGGGCCGUCUUCCCUCACGCGGCUUGGCUGGUUCAGGAUCUCUCCCAUUGACCAAUAUUCCUCACUGCUGCCUCCCGUAGGAGUCUGGUCCGUGUCUCAGUACCAGUGUGGGGGACCUUCCUCUCAGAACCCCUACGCAUCGUCGCCACGGUGGGCCGUUACCCCGCCGUCAAGCUAAUGCGCCGCAUGCCCAUCCUCUUCCGAUGAAUCUUUCCUCGAUCUCGGAUGCCCGAAACCGAUAUACGCGGGAUUAGCCUCCCUUUCGGAAGGUUGUCCCCCUGAAGAGGGCAGGUUGCAUACGUGUUACUCACCCGUGCGCCGGUCGCCGGCAAGGAAAGCAAGCUUCCCUCCCGAUGCCCCUCGACUUGCAUGUGUUAAGCCUGCCGCUAGCGUUCAUCCUGAGCCAGGAUCAAACUCU
rnacentral:rRNA from 1 species